GUCAGGGACAUUUAUACCCACUGAGGGGUGGGCACAGCUGGAAACCAUGCCCAGGAGCUGCUCACGCUGCUUGCCACACAGCAGUUGGCAAGACAAGAGCCCAGAACUGUGGGAAGACCAGCUCUGAGGGGUCAGAGGAAGAGCAGAACAAUCCCUUCCCCUCUGCAGACCUCCCACUGCUGCCUGCAGAUGCAGUCCUGCCACCAUGCCCAGGCAUGUUCGACCUACUGCUGUGUUGUUUGAAAUCAACUCUGGUUGCUUUCAGAAGCGCUGCUUUGUGUUUCUGUGGUUACACGGGGAUCCCAGCCCUGCUGGGAAGUGGCAGAACAGACACCCCAGGGCCUGUCUGGAUGAGCAGGGGUGCCCUGAGGUCUUGCCAGCUGCUGAUGGGAUUCAGCAGGACUCAUCUUCCGGAGCCACAGACGAUGAGGAGGGUCAAAGGUACCACCAGCUGCCCUCAGCAAUCCGGAUAUUAACAGGAUUGCAACACCAGCUGGAGGAAUUUGGAGGGUCAAACUCCGUGCGGUUGUUUUAGACCUCCAGUGAAUCCGUAGCAGCGUUUUGGGAGGUUGAUACCCUAACCCAAGCCUCUUUAAAGGAGUUAAUGUGUGACCAGCCACAAUCCAGCUGGAGCAGGCAGAUGGCCUGUCCUGCUGGAGCUGGUUUCAGCAGCUGGGACACUGUGUGGUUCCCAGUGAUGCUGAUGUGACACCAGAAGGAAAAAACUGGGAGGAGAAGGAUUGCAGUUGGCUUGCAUCAUGUGCAGAGCAGAAUUAGUUCUUGUUUUCCUGCAGAUUCCCAGCAGGAUGGUUACCCCAGGCUUUCUCUGGAUAUGGAUGUCCAUAAUCUGAACAUAGCCAACAUCUUGCUGCUAGAAUACACCCCACAAAUGUACUCGUGAUUAAGAGCUGCCCAAAAAGGAGAAUGUCAGGACACAAUGGAUUCAUGUCUAACACUGAAGUGUUUGAAGUGUGUCCCUUUCCUUUAAGAAAGAAGAAACUUUGCUGCUGGUGGAUGCCUACAGACUGUGGAAAAUCCACUGCCCUCAGUGCAAUGUGGAGUUCAGAAUGCAGCUGAAUUAAAAACUUGAAGAGCCUUUUGCAAUCCAAUUAGUUUUUCUGUAAGUGUCGUGCUGUAGGAUCGGAUGAUCAGAGCCAUCAGUGGGUACUUUAGGGUAACUCUGCUGUUGAAGUGCCACAUCCGGAUGGUUUUUGAACACUUCCAGGGAUGAUGACUCCACCAUUCCCCUGGCCAGCCUCUCCAGGGCUCACCACCCUUUUGGUGAAGAAUCUUUCCCAAGGAUCCAACCUGUUGCCGCUCGAGCUGUUACCUGGGAGGACAGACUGCCCCACACCUGGCUGGAUCUCUCUCCAGGGAGCUGUGGAGCGCCAUAAGGUCCCUCCGAGCCUCCUUUUCUCCCGGCGGAGCUGUCCCUGCUCGCUCCCCGGUGGCGGUGCCGGUCCCCGCUUGCCGUGCUCGGUGUUCCCGGCAGAUGGCACCGGAGCCCCGCGGCUCCGAGCUCCCUCCAGGCACCGGGAGAGAGCCGGGGGGGACACACGGAUCCCCUUUUCCAGCCGUUCGCAUCUCCACCCCUCGAGCUCGGCGCUUUUAACCCUGCCUCAUUUCGCCAGUGUUUGUAUUUUUCAAGACCCUAAUGAGCACCGGUGUCUAUUAAACAUCCAGGGAAACCCCAAAGUGUACUAAUAAUUUGCCAAAUGAAACCAACUUGGUAAAUACUUUACUGAAAAGUAUAGUAUGUACUAGUCAACCCGGGUAUAAUAUAAAAAAAUCCUAGCACCUAUAAAAAAUACAUAGGAGUUAGAAAAAUGCAGAUAGGCACCGGCUCUGUAUGGACAAGGAACUGCUUAUUAAAAACCUUGGGAUGC